AUUCCAGCUCCAAUAGCGUAUAUUAAUGUUGUUGCAGUUAAAAAGCUCGUAGUUGGAUUUCUGCGUCGCGCAGCUCGGUCCGCCGCACUGCGGUGCGACUGUGGUUGGAGCGUCGCUUCUUUGUGGGGACUACUGGUGUCAUUAAUUUGAUGUCUUUAGGAACUGCAUCGUUUACUGUGAAAAAAUUAGAGUGUUCAAAGCAGGCUUAUGCCGUGAAUACAUUAGCAUGGAAUAAUAAGAUAGGACUUUGGUGGUCUAUUUUGUUGGUUUGCACACCACGGUAAUGAUUAAUAGGGACAGUUGGGGGUAUCCGUAUUUCGUAGUCAGAGGUGAAAUUCUUGGAUUUACGAAAGACGAACUACUGCGAAAGCAUUUACCAAGGAUGUUUUCAUCG
rnacentral:rRNA from 1 species